GCUCGUUAACACCUGUGCAAGCACACUGACAUCUAAUCAAGAGGUGGAUUCUACUGCAGGAGUAGUUUUUUAAGCUUCUGUGGAUUCUUUUGACGGCUUUCACACUGUAAAAUAACGAGUUAUCACUAAUAAUUGAAACCAUCGCAACUGCUGUGAAUCUGAGCUCAGCACGACCGGUCGCCUGUGGAGGAAAAUGCAAACUUCCAAGUCCUCAACAGGCAACGCCGCUUUCCCAUUGGUCCCGUUCACUUCCUGUGGUUUGGUCACCUGCUCUGGGACCAGCAGCGACGAGCGGUUCACCUGCACGAUGAAAAGGAAACGGUUGCAGCCCCUCCUGGAUGACAAAUCCCUCCACCAGUUCUCAAUCCGACUGAGGAACUCCUUUCGGCUUGGCGUUGGAUAGUAAAUGCCCAGACAUUCAGGUGGAGUCACGGUUGGAUACGACACGCAAGACAGGGAGGACGUCGCUUGUGUGGAUGCGGUGAUGUGGCCGACUCUAAUCGAAGGCGUGAUCCAUUUCCAUCUCUUACACAACUAUGUUUCUCAGGGUUGUUUUUUUUUGUUGUUGCUGUGAGUUUACAAAAGUAUUGAUUACUGUACCUUAAUUCUGCAAAUGUAAAACAUAUUUAAGGCUUUUUGAGAGCCUGUGUGAGAAAAUAAAAGACAGCUGUGUGUUGAAUGAAGUUCAUCAGUGUGU